UACGUAGGGAGCAAGCGUUGUCCGGAAUCAUUGGGCGUAAAGCGCGCGUAGGCGGCCCUGUAAGUCCGCUGUGAAAGUCAAAGGCUCAACCUUUGAAAGCCGGUGGAUACUGCAGGGCUAGAGUCCGGAAGAGGCGAGUGGAAUUCCUGGUGUAGCGGUGGAAUGCGCAGAUAUCAGGAGGAACACCAAUAGCGAAGGCAGCUCGCUGGGACGGUACUGACGCUAAGGCUCGAAAGCGUGGGGAGCGAACAGG
rnacentral:rRNA from 1 species